rnacentral:misc_RNA from 1 species
UGGUGGCGUGUGGCAUAGCGC